rnacentral:rRNA from 1 species
AUGAGAGGGCUCAUCUGGAACUGCAGAGGGGUGGGCAAGAAAGGGAUGGCCACCUGCCUCUCUGACCUUAUUAGUGACCAUUCCCUAGAUUUCCUGGGUCUACAAGAGACCAUGAAAGGAAAAUUUUCUCCAACAUGUUUGAGGAGAAUUGACCCCUUUAACUUGUUCAAUUGGGACUGGAUCCCUUCUGUGGGCAAAUCUGGAGGUAUCCUAUGUGGAAUUAGACAAGACACCCUGGAGGUGGUUGCAUGUGACAAAGGCAAGUAUAUCUUGCAGUUAGUGGUCGGGGAUAAAAAGAAAAAAACCAACUGGGGGCUGUUGAUAGUAUAUGGCUCUGCUCAUGAAGAACAUAAGGAGGAAUUCUUGCUUGAGCUUGCUACCAUGUGUCAUAAUAUGCAAGUCCUUUAUAUAGUGGGUGGGGACUUUAAUAUUCUCAGGCACCCUGGGGAGAAAAACAAAAAAAAUGGCAAACCAUAA